UACAGAGGGUGCGAGCGUUAAUCGGAAUUACUGGGCGUAAAGCGUGCGUAGACGGCUAUCUAAGUCGGGUGUGAAAUCCCCGGGCUUAACCUGGGAACUGCAUUGGUGACUGGCAGGCUAGAGUAUGGCAGAGGGGGGUAGAAUUCCACGUGUGAGCAGUGAAAUGCGUAGAGAUGUGGAGGAAUACCCGAUGGCGAAGGCAGCCCCCUGG
rnacentral:rRNA from 1 species